rnacentral:rRNA from 1 species
UCCAAUAGCGUAUAUUAAAGUUGUUGCAGUUAAAAAGCUCGUAGUUGAAUUUCGGGGUCAGUAGGUCGGUCGUGCCACUGGUAUGAACUGGUUUCACUGAUUCCUCCCUCUUGUAGAACCGUGAUGCCAUUAAUUUGGUGUUGCGGGGAAACAGGACUGUUACUUUGAAAAAAUUAGAGUGUUUAAAGCAAGCUAACGCUUGAAUACAUUAGCAUGGAAUAAUGAAAUAGGACGUUCGAUCCUAUUUUGUUGGUUUCUAGGAUUGACGUAAUGAUUAAUAGGGAUAGUUGGGGGCAUUAGUAUUCAAUUGUCAGAGGUGAAAUUCUUGGAUUUAUUGAAGACUAACUGCUGCGAAAGCAUUUGCCAAGGAUGUUUUCAUUAAUCAAGAACGAAAGUUAGGGGAUCGAAGACGAUCUGAUACCGUCGUAGUCUUAACCAUAAACUAUGCCGACUAGGGAUCGGAUGAUGUUAAUUUUUUAAUGACUCAUUCGGCGCCUUACGGGAAC